UGUUGCUAAGACCAUGGAGGAAUAUUGACUGUUCAAGGAACCACAAGAACGCAAAGAAGGAGGAACAAAUGGGGGAUGAUGAAAUAAACAGGCAGCAGGUGCACAGACUCCUCGCAAUGCAAGGCCACUGCCAGGGAAUGCUGGAGGGGUGAUGCUAGCAAUUGAAGAUUGUCUCUCCUACCCUCUUCAAUGCCUCUUUCAGCAAUAUGAAGUUAAAACCAGAUUAGUGUUGGGUCUGAAGUUCCAAAUCCUGCUGCCUCUGUGAAGUCUUUCUGCUCAUGCUAGAAGCAAUAUCACCUCUUCUAGAAUUAUAAUAUCAUCCUCUAUGCCACUGAGAGUAUUAGUAAGGCAGUAUUUCUGAAAGAGCACUCCACCACUACCUCUGGGAUUUUCUUGCAAGCUACUGAUACCAUCUUUGCAAGAAUGGAGGCAAACAUUCAGGCUACCAGAAUUUAAUCUCUGUAAUUUCCUUGCCAACAGCCAUAAUAAAUGCUUCUUGUUUUCAGGUGAGGUGAAAUGUGAAAAAGUGUUCAUCAGAAUUGGUGAAAUAUGGCAAUUACAACUUUAUUUAAAACAAUGCACGUCACUUUUUGAAAAUAUUUGAAAACUUCUGCUAUAGUCAAAAGAACCUUGGUCUUAAGGAAUCAGAGGACCUGGGUUGAAUACUAGUUCUCUUGACUACCUAUGGCAAGUAACAUAAACUGUCUUAACUUCCUCUGAGGAAUAAGCAAUUUACCUUGUGGGGUGAUUGCAAGAAUUAAAAGAAAAUUUAAAUUCCACAAAAGCAGAAAUAAUUCUAUCCUGUUUGCCACGAUCUUUCUAUUCUCUCAAGAAGUAACAGGGACCUAGAAAGAAUAAAUGAAACAAUGAAUGAACAGUUAAUACAUAGCAAACUACAUGUAGAACUGUCUGUGUUGGAAUGUUGCCAUGGUGGAAGGCAGUAUGUUCUAGGAGAAAAUGCAGCAAAAAAUGUUUCAGUAAGGAACAUUCUUUAGUCCCUCUCUCUAUUUUUCCCCAGUCAUUUUGUGGUUUUGGCUGCUAUUGGCUUGUAUCUGCUUCCCAAAUGCUAGUAAUUUCUUCCAAUCUAAAGUUGCUUGUUUAUUUUCUUGUAUAUUGUAAAACAAAGGCAACAUAAUUGCAGGCCAGAAAGCUAUUUUCUCACUCUUGAAUUCUUAAAAAUGUCAUUUGUUCUAGGUUUUUUUCGCAUGUAUUUAUUAUUGAAAUAUUAAGAGACACAAAAAACAUGGAAAAGAAAAAAAUCAUUAUUUCAAAUUCCUAACCUAGAGAGAAUAAUUACUAAUACUUUUUCUUACUUAAUUGGCAAAAUAUAUAUUUUUUUGUAAUUUGAUUUUUCACUUCAUAUAGUUGCAUAUUUCUCCAUAUACUCCAUUUAAAUGUUCUUCACAAAUAUUGUUUAUGAUACAUGCUCUAUUAUAAUCUAUUUAAGUAAUCUAAACUUCCUGGAAAUUUAGGUCAUUUCCAAUUUUUCACUAUUUAAAAUAUCACAGGAAUGAACAUUCUUGAA
rnacentral:lncRNA from 1 species